GCGCCGCCAACAAUAAAAGUGCACGAUAAGUGAAAUUACAGCUGAUGUAAGUCUGUAUUUCUUUAAGCUCCAACACCUUUUUUCCCCCCACACACACAUACACAGGUAGAGGAGUGGAUGGCGCGGAAAGCAGUAACUGAUGGUGCUGAGCUGAGUUCCACAGCAUUCAGUGGUAACUUGAUGAUAACCAGCCAGGAAGAACAAGUAAGUCAUUCAUUCUCGGCAUCGACUGUCUUCUUACUCUAUAGGUACCUUGUGAAUUGAUUUUAUGAGAUAUUUAACAUUGAUUCCUUUAUUCUCUGGAGUUGUUGGACUGCUAUUUUAGGAACAUCCGUGCAGUGUCCUUGCAAAAUCAAGUUGCUGGCAGCGAUGACAGGGGCAAGUUCUUCCUAGGAGAAUGUGGGGUCCCACUGUCCAACCCAUCAUUAGAUGUAAAACGCCUGAGAGCGAGAUACCUGAGCACUGAACCUGAGGAUGCUAUGGCUGAGUCAGCAUCAAGCUCAGUAGGAGGACUACAGACACCAGGACAGGCCAG
ensembl:lncRNA